rnacentral:lncRNA from 10 species
CAAGAACACGCGAAAAUGACAAAAUACCAAAUAAAAAUCCAAAAUAGAAACAAAUCCAAAAGAAAACAAAAGUUGAUGAAAUAAAAUCUCAGUAGGAGGAUUAAGUAAAAGAAUUAGCAAAUUGAAAGAUUUUUAAGAGACGAAGACAGAAUAAAAAGCUCCCUAUGUUUAAAAGGAGUUUUUAGAAGAAAAUAGAAACAAUGGGGGAAGAUGGUUAAAAAUUAAUAAUAACUUUCCAGACUUGAAGAAAAAAAACUGAAUCUUCACAUUACAGAAGCACACUAUGUCUAGGGCAGGAUAAAUAACAAAUCUACACUAGGACACAUCCUGAUCUGCAACACACUGAAGAUAAAGAGAGAACAGUAAAAAUAUAGAUUACUACCUGUAAGAUUACUACCUACAAACUAAGAGGGCUCAGACUAACAGCAGAUUUUUUCAUUAGUUAACACUGAGGCAAGGAGACAAUAGAACAGUAUCUUCAAGGCACAGCAGACAGUACUAAACAACUCAACUCGGUCAAACCUAACUUUCUGGCCAGCACUUGUGAAAUCAAAGGCUCCCCAGUAAUUUGAUUAGCAUUUUCAUCAUUUUGUAAUCUUAUAAACACCUUCUCCAGUGGGGAAGAAAUAGCCCAAAUGGGAAUUUUAGGUACCUAAGACUUCGGCUGCCAACUGUGCCUAAUAUCCUAGUAAUGUUAACCUUUCCAGUACCCAGUAUAGAAUACCCCUACAACUGGGCAUUUUAAACAGGCAAACAAGUAUUACACACACUUAAUUUUGUUCAUUCCAGCCACAUGAAGUCAAAGGAUGUUUCUCUAUAAGAAACUACAAUAGAUCUUUGAAACUUUGCAUGAAGUUGUUUUAGGGGCCAUACUUCAAGUGACAGGAAAUAACAAAUAGCAAUACACACACAUUUCAUUAAGUGGGGAUCUUAUAAAAUCUCUAGAACCCUGAGAAGUUCCUUGCUACUUAUAAAGCCUUUUCUUGACCUGUCAGACCUAAUGUUUGAUGAUGUAUAAGAAAACUAUCGUCGAAUUUAUGUUAUGCAUAAAUUUUAUAGUAUAUUUAAAGUGAAAUACACAAUUUUUUUCUAUGCACAUACUCUUACUGGAAAAAAUUUGAAUGCUGACAAUAAAAUGGCUAAGUUAUGGUACAUGCAUGUAACAGAAUACUAUAGAGCAGACUGAGCAAACUAUGGCCACAGGCCAAAUCCAGCCCAUGGUAAGUAUUUGUAAAUAGUUUUACUGGAACACAAUUAUACUCAUUUAUUUACAUAUUAUCUAUUGAUGCUUUCACACUACCGUGGUAGUGCUGAGUAGCCAUGACAGAGACCUAAUGGUCUGCAAAACCUAAAAUAUUUACUAACUAACCCUUUAUAGAAAGAACUUUGCUGAACCCUGGUAUGGAGAAAUAAAAACGAAUGAAAUACA